UGAAGGUAUUUGUUUUUCAUACUUUCCUACAUUUAGAUUCUGGCAAACAUUUCUGCAACAAUUCUGACCAUUGGGGUUUUUCUUUUCCUUAAGAAUGGGAGGAUGAUCAGCCAUUUGCAGAUAUUGCUAUUACCAUAGAGAACCAAUUAACAGACUCAAAAUGUUUGAGAGCAUAGGAAGAAAGGAAGGAUUAUCAGCCAUUUGUGGACCUUACAAUCCCCCAGGAGCUACAAGGGGCCCAGCAUGACAUGAACCCUCAGUCUUCCACAAGCUACACAACACGAAUGCUGUUAGGAGCAAAUUACCCAAAGCUAUGGGAUUUCAAGGCAGCAAAGGAUAUUUCCCCCACUUGUUCAAUACAAUGGCCAAUCAAGACUACGUAGGACCACUCUCUGAAACCAAGUAUUACAGCCCUGAAACCAUGAUGCCCGGGGAGAGAGAGGAAUUCAUGAAAUGGCACUCUGCUAAUACAGGUACUGUGUUUAAACUAAAGGCUCUAGCUUACUAUU